rnacentral:snoRNA from 1 species
GGUCAGUGAUGAGUGUUGGCAUGUAUUAUCUAAAGUUGAUAUUUAUCACCACUUUAGCUCUAGAAUUACUGUGUGUACUC